UAUUUAUACAUAUUUUUUGAAUAUACAUUUUAUUACUUGUCUCAUUGGACAGCCCAAGAUGUCCAAUGCAGGAUGAAGGGUCUGAAGAAAAAGGACUAUACAAAACAGGAAUCCACUUUUGUCAUGUCCAUUUGUGCCCCAAAUAGAAAAAAGGAAACUUUCUUGUUCGGUCCAAUCUAGUCCAUUGGACCAAACACACUUGAUCACAGACAAGACAGAAAUCCUCCAGUGUUUCUCUCCUGUAUGUAGGCGGGUUGCUAUGCAUGCAUUUACUUGUUUUCUGAAGGAUGAGGCUAAGGCAUUACAAUAUUGAAUGUGCAAUGCGUCAGGAAACAAAUGCAAAUGUGUAUUGUCCUUGAAAAUACAGAAGCCUCGGUCAAGAGACUGAACCAUUUUAUUAUUGAAGAUUCCAUGAGCCUGAAUUGACUGUUUCAAAGAUCAAACUUGAAUAUGUAAUGUCUUUGAUUUUGUCUUUAAUUGUAAUAUGGACGGUUUCUUCAAAAUCAACUUUAAUGUGAAACAUCUAACACCAAGUAGUAAAUGCUUCAAAAGCUGACAUAAACAUAAAAAGAGUUGAACUAAGCAACUUCAUAUCCAACCUGAGCAGUAAGAG
rnacentral:misc_RNA from 1 species